AUCAACGCUGGCGGCGUGCCUAACACAUGCAAGUCGAACGAGAAAAGUGGAGCAAUCCAUGAGUAACCAGUGGCGGACCGGGUGAAGUAACACGUGACCUAACCUACCCUAGAGUGGGGGGAUAACCCCGGGAAACCGGGGCUAAUACCGCAUGGACAUCGCGAGGGGAAGAUCCUUGCGAUCAAAGGAGCAAUCCGCUCAAAGGAGGGGGGGUCCGCGGCUGAUUAGCUAGUUGGUGAGGGUAACGGCCCACCAAGGCGAAGGAUCAGUAUCCGGCCUGAAGAGGGGCGCACGGACACACUGGGAACUGAAACACGGUCCAGACCUCCUACGGGAAGGCAGCAGUGGGGGAAUUUUGCGCAAUGGGGGAAAACCCUGACGCAGCAACGCCGCGUGGAGGAUGAAGUCCCUUGGGAUUGUAAACUCCUUUUCGAUCGGGACGAUUAUGACGGUACCGGGAAGAAAGAAGCACCGGCUAACUCUGUGCCAGCAGCCGGCGGUAAUACAGAGGGUGCAAGCGUUGUUCGGAAUUAUUGGGCGUUAAAGGGGCGCGUAGGCGGUGCGGUAAGUCCUGUAGUGAAAUCUCCGGGCUCAACUCGGAAAUUGCUAUAGAAACUGCCGUGCUCGAGUGUGGGAGAGGUGAGUGGAAUUCCCGGUUGUAGCGGUAGUGAAAAUGCGUAGAUAUCGGGAGGAAACACCUGUGGCGAAGGAAGCGGCUCACUGGACCACAACUGACGCUGACGCGCGAAAGCUAGGGGGAGCAAACAGGAUUAGAUACCCUGGUAGUCCUAGCCCUAAACGAUGAUCGCUUGGUGUGUCGGGUACCCAAUCCCGACGUGGCCGCAGCUAACGCGUUAAUAAGCGAUCCGCCUGGGGAGUACGGUCGCAAGACUGAAACUCAAAGGAAUUGACGGGGGCCCGCACAAGGCGGUGGAGCAUGUGGUUCAAUUCGACCGCAACGCGAAGGAACCGUACCUGGGCCUCGAAAAUGCAGUGGACCGGGGUGGAAACAUCCCUUCCCCGCAAGGGCUGCUGUAUAGGUGCUGCAUGGCUGUCGUUCAAGCUUCGUGUCGUGAGAUGUUGGGUUAAGUCCCGCAACGAGCGCAAACCCUUAUUUGCCAGUUUGCCAUCAUUUUAGUUGGGCACUCCUGGCGAAACCGCCCCGGAUAACGGGGAGGAAGGUGGGGGAUGACGGUCAAGUCCCUCAUGGCCUUUAUGUCCAGGGCUACACACGUGCUACAAUGGUCGGUACAAACCGUCGCAAAACCGCGAGGGGGAGCUAAUCGGGAAAAAGCCUGUCUCAGUUCGGAUUGGAGUCUGCAACUCGACUCCCAUGAAGUUGGAAUCGCUAGUAAUCGCAGAAUCAGCCAUGCUGGCGGUGAAUACGUUUCCCGGGUCCUUGUACACGCCGCCCGUCCACAUCACGAAAGUGGGUUGUACUAGAAGCGCCAGAGCUAACCCGUAAGGGAGGCAUGGUGUGUAACGGUAUGAUCCAUGAUUGGGGUG
rnacentral:rRNA from 1 species